GCCUGUUUAUCAAAAACAUAGCUUGAUGUAGUUAUAUUAGGUUACCCCUGCUCAGUGAUUAAUUUUUAACAGCCGCAGUACACUGACUGUGCUAAGGUAGCAUAAUAAGUUGGCUUAUAAUUGAAGUCUUGUAUGAAUGGGGUUUAAUGGGUAGAAACUGUCUUUAUAGGUUUAUUUUAAAUUUAUUUAAGGGGUGAAAAUGCCCCUAACUAAAAAGAAAGACGAGAAGACCCUUAGAAUUUUUUAUAAAAGGUAUUUUUUUACUUUAGUAUUUGUUGGGGCGACAAGUUAGCAAACCUAUAACCUACUUAUAUUAACUAAACAUGAAAAGUAUAAUUAGACUGAUUAAUUACCUAAGGGAUAACAGCAUAAUCUUUUUUUUGGUUUGUGACCUCGAUGUUGGACUAGGGAUUUUUAAGGUCAGUCGCCUUAAUAAAUAGUUCUGUUCGAACUUUUCCGACCCUACGUGAUCUGAGUUCAGACCG
rnacentral:rRNA from 1 species